GACGAACGCUGGCGGCGUGCUUAACACAUGCAAGUCGAACGGAAAGGCCCCCAUCUUGGUGGGGGUGCUCGAGUGGCGAACGGGUGAGUAACACGUGGGUGAUCUGCCCUGUACUUCGGGAUAAGCUUGGGAAACUGGGUCUAAUACCGGAUAGGACCAUGGUUUAGUGUCUCAUGGUGGAAAGAUUAUUGUUUUGGUGCAGGAUGAGCUCGCGGCCUAUCAGCUUGUUGGUGGGGUAAUGGCCUACCAAGGCGUCGACGGGUAGCCGGCCUGAGAGGGUGGACGGCCACAUUGGGACUGAGAUACGGCCCAGACUCCUACGGGAGGCAGCAGUGGGGAAUAGUGCACAAUGGGCGCAAGCCUGAUGCAGCGACGCCGCGUGGGGGAUGACGGCCUUCGGGUUGUAAACUCCUUUCGUUAGGGACGAAGCCACGCUUGUUGGGUGUGGUGACGGUACCUUUGUUAAGAAGCACCGGCUAACUACGUG
rnacentral:rRNA from 1 species